UACGUAGGGGGCUAGCGUUGUCCGGAUUUAUUGGGCGUAAAGAGCGUGUAGGCGGCCAGAUAGGUCUGCUGUGAAAACUCGAGGCUCAACCUCGAGCUGUCGGCGGAAACCAUUUGGCUAGAGUCCGGAAGAGGAGAGUGGAGUUCCUGGUGUAGCGGUGAAAUGCGCAGAUAUCAGGAAGAACACCUAUGGCGAAGGCAGCUCUCUGGGACGGUACUGACGCUGAGAAGCGAAAGCAUGGGGAGCGAACAGG
rnacentral:rRNA from 1 species